UCAUUUUUUUAGUCCUUAUGGAUUUAUAUAUUAAAAAAAUCCAUUGAUGUCAUUUUAACAGAGCAUUGUGAGGGACAGCUGAUGACAGGUAUGAUCAGACUUCCACGUUCACCUGCAGUCUGGAGGGGACACGAGGGAAACGCAGAGCCAUUAGGAAGAAACAUGGUGGCUGCCACACCUCCUGGAAACUGCAUUGAACUAUUGAACCGGGCGAAAGCCUAUGACUGAACACAGAGCGGCUGCACCCACAUUCCUG
rnacentral:lncRNA from 1 species